rnacentral:rRNA from 1 species
CACGUAGGGUGCGAGCGUUGUCCGGAAUUAUUGGGCGUAAAGAGCUCGUAGGCGGUGUGUCGCGUCGGCCGUGAAAACCUGCAGCUCAACUGUGGGCUUGCGGUCGAUACGGGCAUCACUGGAGUUCGGCAGGGGAGACUGGAAUUCCUGGUGUAGCGGUGGAAUGCGCAGAUAUCAGGAGGAACACCGGUGGCGAAGGCGGUUCUCUGGGCAUGACCUGACGCUGAGGAGCGAAAGCAUGGGGAGCGAACAGG